AAUCAACGCUGGCGGCGUGCCUAACACAUGCAAGUCGCACGAGAAAGAGGGGGCAACCCCUUCGAGUAAAGUAGGCGUACGGGUGAGUAACACGUGACUAACCUACCUCCGAGUGGGGAAGUAACUCCGGGAAACCGGGGCUAAUACCGCAUAACAUCUACGGAUCAAAGCAGUAAUGCGCUUGGAGAGGGGGUCGCGCUGAUUAGCUAGUUGGUGAGGUAAUGGCUCACCAAGGCGACGAUCAGUAUCCGGCCUGAGAGGGC
rnacentral:rRNA from 1 species